rnacentral:rRNA from 1 species
GGUUGAUCCUGCCAGUAGUGAUAUGCUUGUCUCAAAGAUUAAGCCAUGCAUGUGUAAGUAUAAACUCAGGGAGUGAAACUGCGAAUGGCUCAUUAAAUCAGCAAUAAUUUACAUGACAGUCGGUACUACAUGGAUACCUGUGGUAAUUCUAGAGCUAAUACAUGCGCAAACGCCCGACUGCAGGAAGGGCGGUAUUUAUUAGAUCAAACCAGCCUGGGCAACCAGACAGUGGUGAUUCAUGGUAACAGAUGGAAUCCCCGCGGGGAUGUGUCAUUCAAAUUUCUGCCCUAUCA